CCCUAGCCCUGAUAGCAGCGAAAUCCUUUUUGACCGCCCUAGCGGAUAAAAAGAUUGGAGUGAAUAGCAGGAAUAGCU
rnacentral:sRNA from 1 species